ensembl:snoRNA
GCUACAUGAUGAAUAAAAUCAAAUCACCAUCUUUCGGCUGAGCUCUUGAUGGAUUUGCUUUUUUCUGACAAAGC